rnacentral:rRNA from 1 species
UACGUAGGCAGCGAGCGUUGUUCGGAAUUACUGGGCGUAAAGAGUGUGUAGGCGGUGCUCUAAGUUCGGUGUGAAAUCUCCCGGCUUAACUGGGAGGGUGCGCUAUAGACUGUGGGGCUAGAGUGUGGGAGAGGAAAGUGGAAUUCCUGGUGUAGCGGUGAAAUGCGUAAAUAUCAGGAGGAACACCGGUGGUGUAAACGGCUUUCUGGACCAUAACUGACGCUGAGGCACGAAAGCGUGGGUAGCAAACAGG